GUGUUUACUUCAGCAGCACAGAUACAAAAAUUGAAACGAUAAAGAGAAGAUUAGUAUGGCCCCUGCGCAAAGUCAGGAUUGACUACUCUGACUAGCAGUGUCUCUUA